rnacentral:rRNA from 1 species
GACGAACGCUGGCGGCGUGCCUAAUACAUGCAAGUAGAACGCUGAAGGAGGAGCUUGCUCUUCUGGAUGAGUUGCGAACGGGUGAGUAACGCGUAGGUAACCUGCCUGGUAGCGGGGGAUAACUAUUGGAAACGAUAGCUAAUACCGCAUAACAGUAGAUGUUGCAUGACAUUUACUUAAAAGUUGCAAUUGCAUCACUACCAGAUGGGCCUGCGUUGUAUUAGCUAGUUGGUGGGGUAACGGCGCACCAAGGCGACGAUACGUAGCCGACCUGAGAAGGGGGUCGGCCAGCCUGGGACUGAGACACGGCCCAGACUCCUACGGGAGGCAGCAGUAGGGCAUCGUCGGCAAUGGGCGGAAGUCUGACCGCGCAACGCCGAGGGAGUGAAGAAGGUUUUCGGAUCGGAAAGCUCUGUUGUAAGGGAAGAACGAGUGUGAGAGUGGAAAGUUCACACUGUGACGGUAACUUACCAGAAAGGGACGGCUAACUACGUG